rnacentral:rRNA from 1 species
AAUAUUUGACAAUGGGGGCAACCCUGAUCCAGCCAUGCCGCGUGUGUGAAGAAGGUCUNCGGAUUNUNAAGCACUUUAAGUUGGGNGGAAGGGCUUUCGGCUACUACCCUGAAGUCUUGACGUUACCAACAGAAUACGCACCGGCUAACUCUUAGCCAGCAGCCGCGGUACAACAGAGGGUGCAAGCGUUAAACGGAAUUACUGGGCGUAAAGGGCGCGUAGGUGGUUCAGUAAGAUGGGUGUGAAAUCCCCGGGCUUAACCUGGGAACUGCUUUCAUAACUGCUGAGCUAGAGUACGGUAGAGGGAAGUGGAAUUUCCUGUGUAGCGGUGAAAUGCGUAGAUAUAGGAAGGAACACCAGUGGCGAAGGCGACUACCUGGACUGAUACUGACACUGAGGUGCGAAAGCGUGGGGAGCAAACAG